AUUCUCACUUCAGCAGCAUGUGUGCUACAACUGGAAGGACACAGAGAAGAUGAGCGCGGCCCCCGCCCGAGGAGGACGUGCAAAUCAGUGGGAAGCCACAUGCACUG